rnacentral:rRNA from 1 species
GACGAACACUGGCGGCGCGCCUAACACAUGCAAGUCGAACGAGCGAGCGAGAGCUUGCUUUCUUGGGCGAGUGGCGAACGGGUGAGUAACGCGUGAGGAACCUGCCUCAAAGAGGGGGACAACAGUUGGAAACGACUGCUAAUACCGCAUAAGCCCACGGUGCCGCAUGGCACAGAGGGAAAAGGAGCAAUCCGCUUUGAGAUGGCCUCGCGUCCGAUUAGCUAGUUGGUGAGGUAACGGCCCACCAAGGCGACGAUCGGUAGCCGGACUGAGAGGUUGAACGGCCACAUUGGGACUGAGACACGGCCCAGACUCCUACGGGAGGCAGCAGUGGGGAAUAUUGCACAAUGGGGGAAACCCUGAUGCAGCGACGCCGCGUGGAGGAAGAAGGUCUUCGGAUUGUAAACUCCUGUUGUUGGGGAAGAUAAUGACGGUACCCAACAAGGAAGUGACGGCUAACUACGUG